rnacentral:RNase_P_RNA from 1 species
GCAGGAAACUCAGCUGAGCACAGGCAGGGGUGGGGAAGCGUCCUUGGGCCCCUAGAAAGGUCUGAGACUAGGGCCUCCCGUGGCCCUAACGAAGAUCUCCCCAAAUGGAAGAUGAGUUCCCAGAGAACAGGCUCCAAGCAAGGACAGCCUGGACCAAAGAGACCCCAAUUUGGCAGAUGUCUCCUUCCACACCGGAGCGUAGAACAGACUCCUGGUCACUCAUUUUGUUCAGUGAGUGGCUGCUACCCUUCCUGCCAGGAGAAAUGCUCGCUCCCUGUCUGAACAAGAUGCAGAUGUAGGCUGU